rnacentral:rRNA from 1 species
UACAGAGGGGGCAAGCGUUGUUCGGAAUUACUGGGCGUAAAGGGCGCGUAGGCGGCCUGCUAAGUCGAACGUGAAAUCCCCGAGCUCAACUCGGGAACUGCGUCCGAUACUGGCAGGCUUGAAUCCGGGAGAGGGAUGCGGAAUUCCAGGUGUAGCGGUGAAAUGCGUAGAUAUCUGGAGGAACACCGGUGGCGAAGGCGGCAUCCUGGACCGGUAUUGACGCUGAGGCGCGAAAGCGUGGGGAGCAAACAGG